rnacentral:tRNA from 1 species
GCCCAGUUGGCUCAGUUGGUAGAGCACGAAACUCUUGAUUUCAGGGCUGUGAGUUUGAGCCCCGUGUUGGGUG